rnacentral:rRNA from 1 species
GACGAACCGAGCGAACGUUGUUCGGAAUCACUGGGCUUAAAGGGCGCGUAGGCGGGGUCAUAAGUCUGUGGUGAAAUCCUCCGGCUCAACCGGAGAACUGCCUCGGAUACUGUGGCUCUCGAGGGUGAUAGGGGUAUGCGGAACUAUCGGUGGAGCGGUGAAAUGCGUUGAUAUCGAUAGGAACUCCGGUGGCGAAGGCGGCAUACUGGAUCACUUCUGACGCUGAGGCGCGAAAGCCAGGGGAGCAAACGGG